UUUUUUUCUGUAAUGGCCCUGUUUUUCUGUAAUGGCCCUGUUUUUCUGUAAUGGCCCUGUAUUAAUGCCCAGCUUGUCUGUAUUAAGCCCAUGGUUAGGGUUUUUAAUAAAGUUAAUAAAAUUAAACUGUUUAAAGAGUAUAAUAUUUUUUGUUUUUUAUUUAAUUUAGUAACCAGCAACAAACAUUAAAGAACCAUAUAAAGAGAUCCUGUUUUUCAACACAUAACUUCUUUCAACUUAAUAUCUUGGAUAUUUGGUAUAUUUAAAGCUUGAUC
rnacentral:lncRNA from 1 species